CUCUGCUAUUGGUUUACUGCAGUGGUGAUGACACUGAAGAGACAGCAUUUAUACUUUAAAAGCUCAUUCAGUGCUCGGAGCGCAUCGUUAUCUUAUUACAGCGCUGAGAGAAGCCCGUGAGACAUCACUGAACCAUGAGUGAGAGGCAAGGAUCCGGAGCAACAGGUGGCCACAGCAAAACCUCUGGGACACAAGAUGCUUCCAAGAAAGACAUCCCAGAGGAAAUUGACAUUGACAUGGAUGCCCCGGAAACCGAGAAGGCAGCUGUUGCCAUUCAAUCGCAAUUCAGAAAGUUCCAGAAGAAGAAAAACGAUGACAAAUAGUAGCUGUCAGCGGACUGCUCUGUCUGUGUGGCCACAGCAGUAUGACAUGGUUUGAUGUUGCAUGUAAUUGAAUCCAUUCUAUAUGGACUCAAGGGAGGAUGGGGUGGAGAAGUGGGUGAGGUCAAAGCUGAUCACUGAUAUCUGUAGAUCCAUAAAAUAGCAAAUAAUUUACAGCUGUAACUAUGAAUUUCAUUAAUAGAUUUUUUUUAUUCUGGAUCAAUCUUUAUUCUUUACUUUAGCCAAGUAUAUCCACUGAUGCAUGAAUUAUUCAAAUACUUUUACCUCAAAGAUCUGAAGUGUAAAGCAGGGAUGUAAAUUUCAGAUCUGUCCUUUUCUGUAAAAUCACAAAAUCUUUUCAGUUUGAGUUGCUUACAACAUUUUUAGUCAGAAACUGUUUCUAAACUGUUUGUGUGUUACAUGUUUCAGAAUAUUGUUUUGUUUCAAUAAAUUUUUUGUUUUGUUCUAUAAAUAAUUUAUCUUUUGAAACCAAUGUUAAUGAAUCAUUUCUAGCUUAUCUUCCCAGUUCUUGCUAUGUUCACUUCACAGUUAAGUUUCAUAAUGGGUGAAAUAACUUGAGGCAAGUUUGGUCUGAUUUGCUUUGGUAUGUAAACUAUUUGCAAAACAUCAUAGCACCAUAGUUUUAAUUUCAAACUUUGUCUCAUUCAACAACUAUAAAUAAGUAUCUGAAAUUAAACAUUGUAUUUUAAUUAAACUG